rnacentral:rRNA from 1 species
GAGUUUGAUCCUGGCUCAGGAUGAACGCUGGCGGCGUACCUAACGCAUGCAAGUCGAACGGGGAGUUUUUAGCAAUAGAAACUUCUAGUGGCAAACGGGUGAGUAACACGUAGGGAUCUACCUUGGAGUGGGGAAUAACGGACCGAAAGGUUCGCUAAUACCGCAUGUGGUCGUGAGACCAAAGGAUUCAGCAAUGGAUUCGCUCUAAGAGGAGCCUGCGUUCGAUCAGGUAGUUGGUGAGGUAACGGCUCACCAAGCCGAUGACCGAUAGCUGUUCUGAGAGGAAGAUCAGCCACACUGGGACUGUGACACGGCCCAGACUCCUACGGGAGGCAGCAGCGAGGAAUAUUGCACAAUGGAGGAAACUCUGAUGCAGUAACGCCGCGUGGGGGAAGAAGACCUUCGGGUUGUAAACCUCUUUUUGUAAAGACGAGUGAGGACGGUAUUUGCAGAAUAAGUCUCGGCUAACUACGUGCCAGCAGCCGCGGUAAGACGUAGGAGGCGAGCGUUAUCCGGAUUCACUGGGCGUAAAGCGCAUGUAGGCGGAUGUCUAAGUCGUGUGUUAAAGCCCCUGGCUCAACUGGGGGAGGUCAUGCGAGACUGGAUGACUUGAGGGCAACAGAGGCACGUGGAACUCCCGGUGUAGCGGUGGAAUGCGUAGAGAUCGGGAAGAACACCCGCGGCGAAGGCGGCGUGCUGGGUUGCAACUGACGCUGAGAUGCGAAAGUGUGGGGAGCAAACGGGAUUAGAUACCCCGGUAGUCCACACUGUAAACGAUGAACCCUAGGUGUGGGGGGGAAUGCCAUCUGUGCCGUAGCUAACGCGUUAAGUAUUCCGCCUGGGGACUAUGAGCGCAAGCUUAAAACUCAAAGGAAUUGACGGGGGCCCGCACAAGCAGCGGAGCGUGCGGUUCAAUUCGAUGCGACACGAAGAACCUUACCAGGGUUUGACAUGGACGUGGUAGCGAAGGGAAACCGGAGCGACUCGCAAGAGAGCGUCCACAGGUGAUGCAUGGCUGUCGUCAGCUCGUGCCGUGAGGUGUUGGGUUAAGUCCCGCAACGAGCGCAACCCUCACCCUUAGUUGCUAGCCGCAAGGAAGCACCCUAAGGGAACUGCCUCGGAUAACGGGGAGGAAGGUGGGGAUGACGUCAAGUCCUCAUGGCCUUUAUGCCCAGGGCUACACACGUGCUACAAUGGCCGGUACAAACCGUCGCUAACUCGCGAGAGGGAGCCAAUCGGAAAAAACCGGUCUCAGUUCGGAUUGCAGGCUGCAACUCGCCUGCAUGAAGCUGGAAUCGCUAGUAAUCACGUAUCAGAAUGACGUGGUGAAUACGUUCCCGGGCCUUGCACACAC